rnacentral:lncRNA from 1 species
UUAAAAUAACCAAACCUUGUUUGCAAUUUUAAGAUGGACCGAUGUUGGUCACCCACUAGGGCCUGAGUGGAUUUUAUUCCUGAUAUUCAUAUUGAAGUUGUGAAGUCCAUUCUUAUUGCGCACAAGAACCAGUUUGCGGUAAUUUUAUUCUCCAACCUUAUGAGUUUUUUCAGUGAUCAAUGUUUUUGUGAUUAUUAAAGAAAAGAAAGGAUUUGUCACUUGUCGCGCACAAUAUCGCAAAGAUUGUUGAAUCGUAAUCGGUAAAAUUUUUUGAAUUCAAAUAUUUGUUUCUAAGAUUUCAAAAUCGAAACAUUUAUUCAGGAUAUUUUCUUAUAUUGCAAAUUGAUAUAUUCUCAAUUUGCUAAAUCCUUAUAAAUUGAUAUAUUCUCAACUUUUAAAUUUUGUAUUUGAAAAAUU